rnacentral:rRNA from 1 species
UACGAAGGGGGCUAGCGUUGCUCGGAAUUACUGGGCGUAAAGCGCACGUAGGCGGAUUGUUAAGUCGGGGGUGAAAUCCUGGAGCUCAACUCCAGAACUGCCUUCGAUACUGGCGAUCUCGAGUUCGGGAGAGGUGAGUGGGAACUGCGAGUGUAGAGGUGAAAUUCGUAGAUAUUCGCAAGAACACCAGUGGCGAAGGCGGACUCGCUGGCCCGAUACUGACGCUGAGGUGCGAAAGCGUGGGGAGCAAACAGG